rfam:Pan troglodytes isolate Yerkes chimp pedigree #C0471 (Clint) chromosome 5, whole genome shotgun sequence.
AAUCAGGUGUUUCUAAACACCAAUAAUAAACAAUCUAAAAUAUAA